AACACAUGCAAGUCGAACGGUAACUUUUGGUGCUUGCACCGAAAGACGAGUGGCGAACGGGUGCGUAACGCGUAUGCAAUCUACCUUUUACUAGGGUAUAGCCCGAAGAAAUUUGGAUUAAUCCCCUAUAAUAUCAUGAAUUCGCAUGAUUUUAUGAUUAAAGCUUCGGCGGUAAAAGAUGAGCAUGCGUCCUAUUAGUUAGUAGGUGAGGUAACGGCUCACCUAGACUACGAUAGGUAGGGGUCCUGAGAGGGAGAUCCCCCACACUGGUACUGAGACACGGACCAGACUCCUACGGGAGGCAGCAGUGAGGAAUAUUGGACAAUGGACGAAAGUCUGAUCCAGCUAUGCCGCGUGCAGGAUGACGGCCCUAUGGGUUGUAAACUGCUUUUAUACAGGAAGAAAAAAUCCGACGUGUCGGAUCUUGACGGUACUGUAAGAAUAAGGAUCGGCUAACUCCGUGCCAGCAGCCGCGGUAAUACGGAGGAUCCAAGCGUUAUCCGGAAUCAUUGGGUUUAAAGGGUCCGCAGGCGGUUUUUUAAGUCAGAGGUGAAAUCCUACAGCUCAACUGUAGAAUGGCCUUUGAUACUGAAAGACUUGA
rnacentral:rRNA from 1 species